rnacentral:rRNA from 1 species
AUAUUAAUAAGGGGAGGAAGAGAAACUAACAAGGGUUCCCCCUGUAACGGCGAGUGAAGCGGGAAGAGCUCAAUUUGAAAAUCGACUACCUAAGCGGGUCGUCGAGUUGUAGCCUAGAGACGUACUAUCAGCUGAAACCUGGGUAUAAGUUCUUUGGAAUGAGGCAUCAUAGAGGGUGAGAAUCCCGUAUAUGACCCAAAGCUUUCAGCGUACGAUGUAGCUGUUC